rnacentral:rRNA from 1 species
GUGCCAGCAGCCGCGGUAAUACGGAGGGGGCCAGCGUUGUUCGGAAUUAUUGGGCGUAAAGGGCGCGUAGGCGGCGAGGUAAGUCAGACGUGAAAUCCCCCGGCUCAACCGGGGAAUUGCGUCUGAAACUGCCUUGCUCGAGGCCGGGAGAGGAGAGUGGAAUUCCCAGUGUAGCGGUGAAAUGCGUAGAUAUUGGGAGGAACACCGGUGGCGAAGGCGGCUCUCUGGACCGGUUCUGACGCUGAGGCGCGAAAGCUAGGGGAGCAAACAGGAUUAGAUACCCUGGUAGUCCUAGCUGUAAACGAUGGGUGCUUGGUGUAGGGGGUAUCGACCCCUCCUGUGCCGAAGCUAACGCAUUAAGCACCCCGCCUGGGGAGUACGGUCGCAAGGCUGAA